UACGUAGGUGGCAAGCGUUGUCCGGAUUUAUUGGGUUUAAAGGGUGCGUAGGCGGCCUUGUAAGUCAGUGGUGAAAUACUCCAGCUUAACUGGAGGGGUGCCAAUGAUACUGCAGGGCUUGAGUACAAAUGAGGUAGGCGGAAUUGACGGUGUAGCGGUGAAAUGCAUAGAUAUCGUCAAGAACACCGAUAGCGAAGGCAGCUUACUGGGCUGUAACUGACGCUGAGGCACGAAAGUGUGGGGAUCAAACAGG
rnacentral:rRNA from 1 species